AUUGAACGCUGGCGGCAGGCCUAACACAUGCAAGUCGAAUGGUAACAGGAAACAGCUUGCUGUUUCGCUGACGAGUGGCGGACGGGUGAGGAAUGUCUGGGAAACUGCCUGAUGGAGGGGGAUAACUACUGGAAACGGUAGCUAAUACCGCAUAACGUCGCAAGACCAAAGAGGGGGACCUUCGGGCCUCUUGCCAUCAGAUGUGCCCAGAUGGGAUUAGCUAGUAGGUGGGGUAACGGCUCACCUAGGCGACGAUCCCUAGCUGGUCUGAGAGGAUGACCAGCCACACUGGAACUGAGACACGGUCCAGACUCCUACGGGAGGCAGCAGUGGGGAAUAUUGCACAAUGGGCGCAAGCCUGAUGCAGCCAUGCCGCGUGUAUGAAGAAGGCCUUCGGUUUGUAAAGUACUUUCAGCGGGGAGGAAGGGAGUAAAGUUAAUACCUUUGCUCAUUGACGUUACCCGCAGAAGAAGCACCGGCUAACUCCGUG
rnacentral:rRNA from 1 species